UGUAAGGAUACACAGUAAGGCACUGAUAUUUGUAUUGGGUUUUGGGUAUGUCAAUUGCUGGCAUUAAGGUUAGGUGACUUGCAGGAAGGUACAACCUUAAAACACAUAUCAAAUAAUUGUAUUGGGUUUUGGAGUGGACAGGUUUAGCCCUGUUUUUCACAGUGAGAUGUGGUUCCACAUAAAGAACUGAUACACUGAGUACAGCAUGCCAACUUUUUCUCUGUGGGGUUUUUGAGUGAAUGAUAGGACGAUUUUUCACGUGCACUGCAGAUGGUCUAAGACAAAAUGGAUUCCUCCUACAUUUCUGUCACUAAGUAAAAUGAUGAUGAUCUUCUAAAUACAAUGCAGAAUAAGAAGUGCUUUUCUUUGAAAUAAAGCAAUCUUAUUUCAGUAAUCAGAUCACUUUCCAUUCAGCAAGGAAGAAUGCUUUCAGUGUUGGGGUUUCACUAUCACUCUUUCUUUGCCCUGGACCUGUUUUUUAUUGUUCCAGUUUAAGCAAUGGUGAAGUUAUCAGAUGCCGCAAAUGUAUAUCACAAAGUUAAGUGGAAAAGUCUGCUCACGAACUUUUCGAACUUUUGGAUCAGAAUGGACGGAAUUGGAAAGAUAGGUAACUAAGUUUUGGUCUUACCCUGCGGAGCAAGUGGUGAGAUGCAUUCACAUUGCACUUCUGUGCACGCAGGCAGAUGCAGAGAAACGCCCUCUUAUCUCUGAUGUCUGUUGUUGCCGACUCCAUAAGGCUAGCAUUUGUGAGUAUGACGAGCGAAAGCCCAAAUGUUAGCCUCACCCCUAUCAUUCCUUCCGCCAAUGGAUCUUUAAUUUAAGGGUCUUAAAAGCUAAUUUGAAUUCUAAUUUCUCAUGGUAAAUGUAAGAAGAAAACAGGCCAGUUGUGUUUGUGCUGUUUGAAGCAGUGUGUCAGGUAUGAUUUAUAUUGAAGAAAGGAAAGACCUUUAUAUUGAAGCACAAUGUAAGUCUUCUGAAUGAAGAAGAGAUUCAUGUUUGAAACAUGUUUUUAGUGGAUACGAUAGAUAAAUUAGAUGUAUA